UGUUGCGAUCAUACCAGCACUAAUGCACCGGAUCCCAUCAGAACUCCGCAGCUAAGCGUGCUUGGGCGAGAGUAGUACUAGGAUGGGUGACCCCCUGGGAACUCCUCGUGUUGCAAUCCCC
rnacentral:rRNA from 1 species